rnacentral:misc_RNA from 1 species
GAUGAAGAACGCAGCGAAAUGCGAUAAGUAAUGUGAAUUGCAGAAUUCCGUGAAUCAUCGAAUCUUUGAACGCACAUUGCGCCCCCUGGUAUUCCGGGGGGCAUGCCUGUCCGAGCGUCAUUGCAACCUUCAAGCGCGGCUUGUGUGUUGGGUCUCGUCCCCCGUGGACGGGCCCGAAAGGCAGUGGCGGCGUCCCGACAUGGUGCCCGAGCGUAUGGGAAACCUCUUCCGCUCGAAUCGGCCCAUGCGGCGCUGGUCGUAACCAAAUUUUUACCGGUUGACCUCGGAUCAGGUAGGGAUACCCGCUGAACUUAAGCAUAUCAAUAAGCGGAGGA